rnacentral:pre_miRNA from 1 species
GAAGUACUCCCUCCGUCCGAAAAUACUUGUCAUCAAAAUGAAUAAAAAGAGAUGUAUCUAGAACUAAAAUACAUCUAGAUACAUCCCUUUUUAUCCAUUUUGAUGACAAGUAUUUCCGGACGGAGGGAGUAAUAA